rnacentral:rRNA from 1 species
UACGUAGGGUGCAAGCGUUGUCCGGAAUUAUUGGGCGUAAAGCGUGCGCAGGCGGUUUUGUAAGUCUGACGUGAAAUCCCCGGGCUCAACCUGGGAAUUGCGUUGGAGACUGCAAGGCUGGAGUCUGGCAGAGGGGGGUAGAAUUCCACGUGUAGCAGUGAAAUGCGUAGAGAUGUGGAGGAACACCGAUGGCGAAGGCAGCCCCCUGGGUCAAGACUGACGCUCAUGCACGAAAGCGUGGGGAGCAAACAGG